rnacentral:tRNA from 1 species
AGGAACUUAGGACUAAUCAUUAAACCGGAGACCUUCAAAGUCGCAAAUAAGAGUCACCACCCUCUUAGUGCCUG